rnacentral:rRNA from 1 species
AUUAGUUUUUUAAUUGAAGGCUGGAAUGAAAGGUUGGUCAAGAGAUAGUCUGUCUUAAAAAAAAAUAUUGAAUUUAACUUUUAAGUGAAAAGGCUUAAAUGAUUUGAAGGGACGAUAAGACCCUAUAAAACUUUAUAUUUAAGGAUAUAGACUAUUUUUAUUUGUGAACUAUUAUCAAAAGUAUUUGGUUGGGGUGACAGGGAUAGAAUAUAAAGUAACUGUCCUUUUUUUUUAACAAUAAUAUUUGACUUAGCGAUCCCUGGGAAGGAUUAAAGAUUAAGUUACUUUAGGGAUAACAGCGUGAUUUUCUUUGAGAGUUCUUAUCGACGGGAGAGUUUGCGACCUCGAUGUUGAAUUAAAGGUUCUUUAUGGAGUAGAGACUAUAAUAGAAGGUCUGUUCGACCUUUAAAAUUUUACAUGAUUUGAGUUCA